UACCUCAAAAAUCCACAACAGUCUGUUUCAUCCGUAUAGGAAUCAUCAGAGAUGAUUCCUAUACGGAUGAUUCCUAUACGGAUGAAACAGACUGUUGUGGUUUUU